GCACUGACAGGAAGUUUUACCGUUGUGUUCCUUUACUGCUUCUUGAAGGAGAGCGACGUCAAAGAAGCAGACAGUGC
rnacentral:sRNA from 18 species